rnacentral:tRNA from 1 species
CCCCUGGUGGCGCAGUGGUUAAGCGCUUGGCUGGUAACCAAAAGGUUGGUGGUUCAAACCCACUCAGUGGCU